rnacentral:pre_miRNA from 13 species
AACCGCACGGAAAAAUCGAUUAUCCCGUGCGAUCGUAUUAAGUCGACCGCACGGGAUAAUAGGUUAUCCUGUGCGGUU